ACGAAACAGUUUUGUCGUUACGUUACGAGGAAAUAACGAUGACUUUAGUUUUUCACGUAAAUUCGUCGUAAACUCGACGCAAAUUUACGAGGAUUAUUUUUCCUCGUUAAUUUUCGUCGUUAAGCAUGUGUUUUCUUGUAGUGAAUGGAUACGAGCUCACGAGGUAUCAACUCAUUAUAGCCUUCUAGGAAGGCGUUGAUUUGAGGCCGAAUAGCAUUUACUCCUUUGUUUCAUUAUAAGUGUUGUUUUAGGUUUCAGCACACAGAUUAAGAAAAUAAUUAAUUUUGUACAUCUUAUACAAUAAAGUUGGAUUGUCUCUCUCCUCCUGCGUCCACGUCAUCAAGGAAGGAGGGACGUUUGCCGACACGGGUUUAUUAAUGUACUUGGCCCAGACACACCCUUCUCCUUCUCCGCCGGUCUUCAUUUUAUCAGAUCCGUAGAUUAGCAACGACGAUCUCCUUGCUCUUCUGUAACGUUUUCUUCUUCAUUCAAUCCUGAUCAUAACGUAUUGCUAUUAACUCUCUCCUUCAGACCCUCCCACUAUGUCGAUCUUAAAUAUCCUCUCCCGAUUUCAUGGCAAAUUCCUAAAUUGUUAUACUAUAAAUACAUAUGAAGACUCUUCCAAAUCACAAAGCUUCACCAUCUUAUUUCUUUGUAUAUAAACAACAGAGUUUGGAUUGUUUUCUCAAAGAAAUUUAUAGGUACGAUUCUGAGUAUGGAGCAUUUGAUAUAUGAAUAUAUGAUGUCUCUCUCUCUCUCUCUCUCUCUCUCUCUCUCUCUCUCUCUCUCUCUCUCUCUCUCUCUCUCUCUCUCUCUCUCUCUCUCUCUCUCUCUCUCUCUCUCUCUUUUCAUUUCGAUUAUUGUUACUGCUUUGAUAUUCCUUUGUUUUGUUUGAAGCACUGUCAUAUGAUUAUUGAUAUUCCUUUGUUUUGCAUCUCUGGUUCUUUUUUUUUCUCUGGUUUUGUUUUGGAAGUGAUAUGAUUAUUGACUUACGUUUUGGAUUGUCAGGCUUUUCACAAUCGUAAAAUGCACUGGCUGAGUUUGCAUGGGUUGCAAGGCAAAAAAGCAAGUUGUAGCAGGAAUGAUGCAUCAUCUGACCCCGGAGUGAAGCCAUGGUUGACCUUCAAAGAGUUGCAGGAAUUCAAGCCCCUACCAUUAUUCUUUCCAAUCUUGGCUGCAAAAAAAAGGUAUGACUACAAAUGUUACGUUAUGUACUCAAGAAAUAGAUUAAUCUUAAGAAAUACUUUAAUGAUGAAGAUUUGGUUUUAUGGAUCAGAUGGCCAUGACACUGGAUACAGGGAAGUGCAAUACGUUUCUUGAUCAUGUCAAGACCAUCUAACAAAGAUCUAACUCACUGUUCACUUAUGAACUUCAGGAGGCCCGUCAAAGCCACAAGAGAAUUGGAGUGAUACGCAAAGAUACUACAACGGAUAAUCAACAAAUAGUGGGCCUCUCUUAUCCCAAAUGCAGCUGUAGAAACUGUGUUACAACUUACAAGAUUUGGCAUGGGUUCAAGAGAUCGAUGAUUGAGACCAUUAAAAAGGAGAAACAUUAUCUGUCUUAUGUUAGAAGAAAACAGACACAAACCCUCUCAAAGCCAAGUCCCCUCCCCCCAUGCAUGUUCGUAUUUUUUUUUUUUGUUUUCAAAGGAGAAAAAACACUAUUGACUUCCAUUUUUGUGUAUAUCAAAUGGCAAUUUGGCAAGAGACGUAAUAAUAUUAUUAUCUAAUAUUUUGGCUAAACGUUUCCUUAGUAGUCCUAAUAUUGUAAGGAUGUUCAAAAGAAACAAAACUUAGAAACUAAAAAAAAAAAUCAUAGUCCUCGAUAAAACAAGAUGAAAACAGUGUUUCACAAAACACAACACAUCUUUAUAAAAUACACAAAUGUCCUCACACAGCGUGUUAUUUCUCAACCAGAAUCAUCAACGGUCGUUAUGAAUAAAAACAUCAAUAGUUUCUUAACAGAUAAAGGGCGCAUUUGCAUAACCAUCAUGGCAAUACAAAUCUGGCUGCUGAGUAAAUAUUUUGGCUAAACGUUUCCUUAGUAGUCCUAAUAUUGUAAAGAUGUUCAAAAGAAACAAAACUUAGAAACUAAAAAAAAAAAUCAUAGUCCUCGAUAAAACAAGAUGAAAACAGUGUUUCACAAAACACAACACAUCUUUAUAAAAUACACAAAUGUCCUCAAACAGCGUGUUAUUUCUCAACCAGAAUCAUCAACGGUCGUUAUGAAUAAAAACAUCAAUAGUUUCUUAACAGAUAAAGGGCGCAUUUGCAUAACCAUCAUGGCAAUACAAAUCUGGCUGCUGAGUAAAUAUUUUGGCUAAACGUUUCCUUAGUAGUCCUAAUAUUGUAAGGAUGUUCAAAAGAAACAAAACUUAGAAACUAAAAAAAAAAAUCAUAGUCCUCGAUAAAACAAGAUGAAAACAGUGUUUCACAAAACACAACACAUCUUUAUAAAAUACACAAAUGUCCUCAAACAGCGUGUUAUUUCUCAACCAGAAUCAUCAACGGUCGUUAUGAAUAAAAACAUCAAUAGUUUCUUAACAGAUAAAGGACGCAUUUGCAUAACCAUCAUGGCAAUACAAAUCUGGCUGCUGAGUAAAUAUUUUGGCUAAACAUUUCCUUAGUAGUCCUAAUAUUGUAAGGAUGUUCAAAAGAAACAAAACUUAGAAACUAAAAAAAAAAAUCAUAGUCCUCGAUAAAACAAGAUGAAAACAGUGUUUCACAAAACACAACACAUCUUUAUAAAAUACACAAAUGUCCUCAAACAGCGUGUUAUUUCUCAACCAGAAUCAUCAACGGUCGUUAUGAAUAAAAACAUCAAUAGUUUCUUAACAGAUAAAGGGCGCAUUUGCAUAACCAUCAUGGCAAUACAAAUCUGGCUGCUGAGUAAACCCUUUCUUCUUCUUCAAUGCCUUCCUUGCCCUUGUCAUCAUUUCUCUGUUCGGCAGGGAGAAAAGUUUAGAGCUUAAAAUAUUUGGUAUCGUGCGGUUUUGAUAUUCUUACGUUUUGGGAUUAAAUAUCCGGGGAGCUCUUUUCCAAAUCUUAGCUUUUACCACUCAUAUUAGUUAGUGACAAACACUCGAGUUGCUAUGACUUUGUGGUAAUUAUUUUCUACCUAAAUCUUGACCUAACUUCAGUUUGGUCUUUCAUAUUUUUUAUCCGUAUGCUUAUAAGUUAUAACCUUAUAGAAAGGUUGGUGAUAUAUCUUUUUUACUUCGAGAUCAGUAUAUAUUUUUCUUUUGUAUUUCUUAUAUAGUGUUCUAAAUUUAUUAAUCCUCUAAUAAGCAAAAAAAACGGUGGUUAUCAUACAUAAACUAAACGAUGAUUUGAUGUAAUAAUAAGAAUCGUGUAUUAGAAACUUUAAAUGGGAAAUUUUCUAGAUUCAAGUGCAUUAUAGUUUUCAAAUGAACCAUUUAAAAAUCCAUAUCAAAUUUUUCAUUGAGUUUCUAGAAAUUUACAUUAUCUUACUAUCACAUUUCUUAUAAAAUUUGUAAUUUUAAAUGAUAAACUCAUGCGUACCCUUUUUCAAAAAAAAAAACUAUUGUGUAUCCCUAAAAAUACCCUAACGGGAUAUACCGACAAUGCAAAGUAUAUGCAGCUCUUUCGCGUCAAAUUAUGCAUAAAAAUAAUUCAUGGGUCCAGUGGAAGUUGCAUUACGAAUGAUGUUCAUUAUUAAUAAAAAUUUAUACUCUGAAACUUAGAUAAAAAUACAAAAAAAUUGUGAUAAGUAUUUAUAGGUUACAUUUGGCUCAGGAGUUUUCGGUCUUAAAGUUUGGAAAAUAAUAAAUUAUUUAGCACAAAAAGAAAUAAUGAGAAUUAUAAAACUAAAACUUUACGACAACAUUUUUAGGCAUAUAUUAUUUAUUAAACAUUCUAUAUUUAACAUUUAAUAUAUAAAAAAAUUAAAAAAAAAACAUAAUUAAUAUGUACAAAAGAUGAAUUGAAGAUAAAGAAUGGUUCCAUUAAAUAAAAAUAAAUUAAAAAUAAAUUAUAACAGUUAAAUAAUAGAAUAUCGGAGAACAUGUUACUAACAAAUAAAAACUAAAACACAUAACAAUCAUCAAACUUAAAACUAAACAUAUACAAUAUUCCCGCCCGAAGGGCGGGCAAACCACUAGUUUCCUAUAAAAAAACACUAUUACCUAUACACCUAACCAUAUUUCAACCAAUAGAAAAAUAAAUUUUGCAUAAAAUUAAUAAAUUUUGCAUUGAAAAUCGAAAACGACACUUAUUUUGUAACGAAAAAAUUUUCUAAAACGAUUUAACGGAGGGAGUAUAAGUAUGUGUCCGGCCACAAGGUCAACAACAUAUUCAUGUUUUGUUCCUCUGUUACCCUUUCUUCCUCCAAGUUUUAGCUCAUAGUCCGUCACCUUUUUCAGUAAAAAAAAAAAAUUAAUUCAAUAAGAUUUUGAAUCUAUUAUCACACACCUCUGUCUUUUCGUAAAUAAUGUGUGUUUUCCUCAUCUGUGUCCAUGCUAAAUGUGAGGUCGAGUAUGUCGCUCACAUCAUUCUGAAUGACAAGCAAAAAGGGAUUAAAGAUAUUAACUUGAGCUAUUAACCUCCUAUAUUAUAUUUGCGAAGUGAUUUUGUCAGAUGUCCUUUCUACAAUCAAUUUCACAGAACAA